CGGGGUGGAGUAACGCGUGGGUAACCUGCCUUAUACAGGGGAGUAACAGUUGGAAACGGCUGCUAAUACCGCAUAAGCGCACGGCAUCGCAUGAUGCAGUGUGAAAAACUCCGGUGGUAUAAGAUGGACCCGCGUCGGAUUAGCUAGUUGGUGAGGUAACGGCCCACCAAGGCGACGAUCCAUAGCCGACCUGAGAGGGUGACCGGCCACAUUGGGACUGAGACACGGCCCAA
rnacentral:rRNA from 1 species